rnacentral:tRNA from 1 species
GCGCCUGUAGCUCAGUGGAUAGAGCGUCUGCCUCCGGAGCAGAAGGUCGGGGGUUCGAAUCCCUUCAGGCGCACCG